ensembl:lncRNA
AAGAAAUGCAUAAUUUAUUUUUUAGGCCAUGUAAAUGCUAUGAAAAGGACCAAACUUUCUAAAUAGUAGCAUGGCAGUGUAUGUAGGGAGAGCUGCUCUUUUGGUGGGGGAGGGGAGAAUAGUUUGGUCAAAGACUUGAAUGAAGGUCCUGAAAGCAGAGCAUCCUGGGUAGAGAGAAGAGUAUGUGCAAGGGUAUGGAGUUGAGAGCAGCGACUUCAAGGAUCUGAGACACGGGAAUCAAGGCAGAGGAGACAAGCUUCCCGCGGAGGAUAAAUGAAGGCAUUUCAAUUCAAGUCCAGGCCGCUGGCUCUAAAGCUGGGUUUUGACCAUCACCCCAGGCCUCCUGAAGAUAGAGGACUGAUGCUGGCUCUGAGCAGGCUUCUCUGGACUUUCCAACAGCACCUGCCAAAGCCAAGUUUCCCCAGUAAGAGGAGUCAUAGUGUCUAACCAACGCUGGGGGUUGAGGCUCCUCCAGCUCUGCCCACUGAUCUACUGGAGGUUGCAGUGCCCCCCCCCCCAACUCUGGCAAGGAGUGCCUUUCCCAAGCAAGGGGCACCAGCUCCGAAUAAGGAACAGCCUUGGGGCUGGAAGCUGAGUUCCAGGGUCUGAGAUUACAGUUUGGUAGGUGCUGGAGACAGCACCUGGGACCUGAUGUGCUCAGUGUGAGUCCUGAGGCUCACCAGGGAGCUUGUCUAUGCUUUGGACUUUCACUCGGCAAAGGCACAGACCAAUGCACCAAGAUGAAAUAGCCCUGGGAAUGAGAAUAGAAGCUCAAACCUUGGGGACCACAAUGGUGUGAAGGGGAGCUGAGCCAUGGCUCCCUCCAGUUUCUACCCUCUCCCUUCACCCACCUCAGCUCAGCCUCUUGCCACCUUCAUUCUCUCCACCCCUUCUCUCCCCAGCUUGUGGCUUCCAACUGAAUGAGAAGAGGGAGAAAAAAGGAUGGAGAAAGGCCUGGGGGAAGGGGUGUCCACUUUGUCGAUGUGAUGCUGCAGUCAUUCUGUGAAUGAAGGUGAUGUGGAUUCAGUGUGGAGGAAGGGGGUGGAGGAAAGUACUGGGUAGGGCAGCCUGGGAUGGAGUUGCCAUGGGAACAGCAGCCUGCCAGGAGCCCUGCCUUCAAAGCCGAGGUGCUGUGCAUGUGUCAGGUUCCUGAGGGAGGCGGGUGGUGCAUGUUGUGUGUGUGUGUGGGGGGGUAGCAGUUCUGAUGGGAGCCCCUUGGGACUCCAGCUCCUGGAUUCCAGACCAAAACCCUAACCUGAGUGGGAAGUAGCAUUAUUCACUAUUUCCUGGCCCCACAGCCUCAAGCCCCCUCUUGCAGAGAUCAGUGUGGAAUCAUUCUGGCCAUUGUGAAGGAGGGCUCUGAUUGACUCCUCUGAGGGCAACACCUUUUCAAAUGUGUUAGGGGUGGAGGGAAGGGACUCUUCUUGUGGGAACAGAGGUAGGGUGGAGGUUUGUGUUGUCAGGCUCAAGUUGGGGCAAGUUCAGUCACUUGAGGCAUUUAGCUCUACUCCAAGGGGAUGCUCUGGAGUCUGAGAAUUCAGUUAGGUGAGAAGACCACUCACUGUAUUUUAGAUCUUCAGGUGCAUUAGUGGACACCCGCUGUCAUCAGAGUGACCUUCUGGCCACUAGGGGGGGCCAUGACCCAGCGUCCAUGGGAGACCUGGUGAGGUAAUGUGGCUGGAAAAUGGCCUCAGUGGUACUUCCUUUCAUGGGACUGUUCCCACUAGACCAUGUCACAGCAAACCCUGCUGGCCUUCUGGGGACCAGCACCCUGGAAUUGCCGUUCAGUGGUAGUCUUCUUGGGCUGGAUGCCUGGCUAUUCACACAGAACCACCAUCCUAUUCAGAGCAGUUCAGCAGUGCCUGCUACUCACCAGUGCGUGCUGGGCAUUGCAAAAGGGCUUCAGACCCAACCAGGAGGCACAAGCUUCACACUACACAUCUGAGGCUAGACAGGCAAGCCCUCAGACACAGCAACCUGCUUCGAGUCCUCAUUGCUGUCUCUGAGCGAGCUUGCUAAUGGGAGCCUCACUGUCCUCACCUGAAAAUGGUGAUGAUAAUGGUACCUAGCAUGGUGUGGAGUUGUGAAGAUGAAAUCAGAACAUAGGAAUGAAGUCUGUCAGGGUCUGACAGAGGGAAGGCUCUGCCUCAGCAGGGGUGACAACUGUUAGCAGUGAGUCAGAGGGAUGUGGUGGAGGCAGAGGUGAGCUGUUCUGAAGAAAGGAAAUCCAAUGAUGGCAAUGAGAAAACCAGGGAGGGCUUCCUGGAUGUGGUGUCUGGAGUGAGUCUGCAGGACAGCUAGGCAAGGUUGGGCAGGGAGGAAGGAAUUUAGAGAGCUUGCUUUGUUUGUUCCUUGCAGUACAAAUUGGCAGCCCUGGAGUCCUCUCUCUUUCAACCCCCCACCACCCCCAGCCUGUUUCCCUCUGGCUCCUCCUCCCGUUCCACUUCCCCUCCUGAUGUCCUCCUCCUUUCCCCGCAGGGAAGCCAAUUCAGGGGCAACAAGUUUCAUACAUAGUGACAACUGCCUGGUGCUGCUCCGUGGCUCCAGACCAGGGACAGUCCUGCCCCCCGCCCCCAGGGACAUCCAACAAUAUGUGCCGUCAUCUUUGCUUGUCAUAACUAGGGAGUAGGGAGUGCUAUUGGUUGGCCGUGGGUGCAGGGACAGUCCUUUUACCACACAAACAGUGAAGUGGUCCCAACUGAUGAGGAACCUUGGCUUGGACGGAACACUUCCACUAGGGAGAAACUGGGUCCCCAGUGCCGGGCUCCUGUGGUCCUGUCAAUGUGUCCCCACACCAGGGCUCGUCACCAGCACGCCCCCCUCAUCUCUAUCUUCUAUUCUAGCCCCCCCCAACACACACACACACACACACACACACACACACACACACACACACACACACACACACACACCCCACACACACACCCCAGUGCCUCUGGCCUCACAGCCGCCCCACCACUCAGCUGCCGGUGCCCCUUCCCCUAGGGUCUUGUCCCCCCUUUCAUACUCUGCCUCGCAGGGGUUGCGGACCGCCUGUCAGGCAGGAGUCAGCCGGCGGCUGCACGAGGCUUCAGAGACCGAGCUGCCCGCUGCACUCGGCCUGCCUGCCCACUGAUUGGCCGAGCUGCUGUUUCCAUGGUGAUCUCCGGCAAAGCCCGGCCCCCACCUCGCAGCUCCCCUCCUCUCCCCCCUAGGCCCUAUUCAGUGGCGAGAGCAGCGACAAGCAGGUUAAUAAAACAGGAGCCGCGUGAGGAGCCCGGCUGUGGGCCGAGGUCCCAGCGUGGUGGCCCGCCCAGAGAAGAGAGGGACGGUGGGGGUGGGGAGUGAGAAGCUCGCUUGGAGCGCAGUUAGUGCCCGCCCUACUCCAGCUAAUCGAGGGCUCCACCCACUGCAGGUGCUGGGGUUGUGCCCGCCCUGGGAUAUUGGGGGUUCAUUUUCUCAUAGUGCGCCUUCCCAUAAUGGCCUCUAGGGGCAGUGUCACCACCCCCAACGGAACCUCCGGACCCCUGUAACUGGGGUGGGAGAAGGCUGGGGAUAAGGGGGGACAGUGGCUGUGAAAGGCUGGGACUGGGGAAGAAGAGUAGAGCGAGAUCGGGUUGAGACAAGAGUGGUGUCGCGCUUGAAGACGGGGAAAGAGCCAAGGGGGAAGGAGGAAAGAAGAAUGAGGCAGCUGUCAAACACCGUGUUGUUUGGGUUGGAUGAGGAGUGGAGCGUGGGGCGCAGAGAUGAAGUGGG